AUUAAAAUUAAAAAUAGACCUCGUAUAAUUGUGAUAAUAUGGUUCACGAGUUUCUAGUGUCAGCCGAUAACUGGCAACUAUGAGGGAAAUAAAUUAUUCG
rnacentral:ncRNA from 2 species